rnacentral:rRNA from 1 species
AGGGCGUACGGCGAAUGCCUUGCCACUCGAAACUGAAGAAGGACGCGCCAAACUGCGAAAAGCUCCGUGAAGCUGUAAGGAAGCGAAGAAGCGGAGGUGUCCGAAUGGGGGAACCCGGCAGCAGACAUGAGCUGUCAUCUGCAGGUGAAUACAUGGCCUGCAAGAGAGGUACCCGGCGAACUGAAACAUCUAAGUAGCCGGAGGAAAAGAAAACAACAGUGAUUCCCUGAGUAGCGGCGAGCGAAAGGGGAGAAGCCCAAACCGGUUGAAGGACCGGGGUUGAAGGACCAUGACAUGGCAAGAACGAGGAUAGGAGAACGGGAUCGAAAGCCCGGCCGAAGAAGGUGAAAGCCCUGUAACCGAAAUCCGAGUAAAGCCUAAUGGGAUCCUGAGUACGGCGAGACACGAGAAAUCUUGUCGGAAGCAGGCGGGACCAUCCGCCAAGGCUAAAUAUAAACGAGUGAGCGAUAGUGAACCAGUACCGUGAGGGAAAGGUGAAAAGAACCGCGGGAGCGGAGUGAAAGAGAACCUGAAACCGUAUGCCUACAAGAAGUCAGAGCCCGUUAAGGGGUGAUGGCGUGCCUUUUGUAGAAUGAACCGGCGAGUUGCGACAGACUGCGAGGUUAAGGAGGAAAGACCGGAGCCGAAGCGAAAGCGAGUCUUAAGAGGGCGAAAGUAGGAUGUUGCAGACCCGAAACCGGGUGAUCUAGCCAUGAGCAGGUUGAAGUUGAGGUGAAACUCAAUGGAGGACCGAACCGACUACCGUUGAAAAGUUAGCGGAUGACUUGUGGCUAGGGGAGAAAUUCCAAUCGAACCCGGAGAUAGCUGGUUCUCCCCGAAAUAGCUUUAGGGCUAGCGUCGGAAAGAACCUUAGUGAAGGUAGAGCACUGAAUGUGUGAUGGCCCCAUCCCGGGGUACUGAAUACAAUCAAACUGCGAAUGUCAUUAAGGAUGUCCGGCAGUCAGACUGUGAGUGAUAAGGUCCAUGGUCAAGAGGGAAACAGCCCAGACCGCCAGUUAAGGUCCCAAAAUACAGGCUAAGUGGAAAAGGAUGUGGGGAUGCCCAGACAACUAGGAGGUUGGCUCAGAAGCAGCCAUCCUUUAAAGAGUGCGUAACAGCUCACUAGUCGAGUGACCCUGCGCCGAAAAUGUACCGGGGCUAAGCCUGAUACCGAAACUGCGGAUUGUAGGAAACUAUAGUGGUAGGGGAGCGUUGUAUACGAGCAGAAGCCGUACCGUGAGGAGCGGUGGAUUGUAUAGAAGUGAGAAUGCCGGUGUGAGUAGCGAGAUGUAGGUGAGAAUCCUACACACCGAAAGCCCAAGGAUUCCAGGGGAAGGUUCGUCCGCCCUGGGUAAGUCGGGACCUAACGCGAGGCCGAAAGGCGUAGUGGAUGGAAAGCAGGCGAAAGAUUCCUGCACCCGUAUAUGGAGCGAAGGAGUGACGGAGACGGAUAGUGUGACCCUCUUAAUGGAUUGAGGGCGAAGCGAAGCGGCUGGUUACCAGGCAAAUCCGGUAACCAUAAGGCUAGAGCGUGACAGGUAAGCGAAAUCUUAGGAAAGUAGCGAAGCACAUGAUGACGGCUUCCAGGAAAAGCUUCUGGCAAUGCAUAUGCGGCCCGUACCAAAACCGACACAGGUGGGCAGGGAGAGAAUCCCGAGGUGAGCGAGAGAACUGUUGCCAAGGAACUCGGCAAAAUGACUCCGUAAGUUAGCGAGAAGGAGUGCUUAAGCAAUUAAGCCGCAGUGAAGAGGCCCAAGCGACUGUUUAACUAAAACACAGCUCUCUGCGAAGUCGCAAGACGAAGUAUAGGGGGUGACACCUGCCCGGUGCUGGAAGGUUAAGAGGAUCUGUUAAGAGCGAUCUGAAGCAGUGAUCCGAAGCCCCAGUGAACGGCGGCCGUAACUAUAACGGUCCUAAGGUAGCGAAAUUCCUUGUCAGGUAAGUUCUGACCCGCACGAAAGGUGUAACGAUUUGGGCGCUGUCUCGGCAGCAGACUCGGUGAAAUCUUAGUACCUGUGAAAAUGCAGGUUACCCGCAACUAGACGGAAAGACCCCAUGGAGCUUUACUGCAGCCUGAUAUUGAAUUCUGGUCAUACAUGUACAGGAUAGGUGGGAGACAAAGAGACGUGCACGCCAGUGUACGAGGAGUCGACGUUGGGAUACCACUCUUGUGUGACCGGGGUUCUAACCUGGUAUCGAGAACAGGUACGGGGAGAGUGUCAGGUGGGCAGUUUGACUGGGGCGGUCGCCUCCCAAAGAGUAACGGAGGCGCCCAAAGGUACGCUCAGAUUGGAUGGAAACCAAUCGUCGAGUGCAAUUGCAGAAGCGUGCUUGACUGUGAGACAGACAAGUCGAACAGGGACGAAAGUCGGGAAUAGUGAUCCGGCGGUGCCGAAUGGAAGGGCCGUCGCUCAACGGAUAAAAGCUACCCUGGGGAUAACAG